AUAAAUAACGGUCUAUCAACACCCCCCCCCCAAAAAAAGAGACAUUUAUCAGGAGGUAGUUUUUGCCUAAAGAGGUCGCCCACGGCCCCCUUCCUCCCACAGCCCCCACAGCCCCUCAUCUUCUUCAGGCUCCUCCCACGGCCCCCCAUCUUCUCCAGGCUCCUCCCACGCCCCCCCCACCUUCUCCAGGCUCCUUCCAAAGGCUCCUCCCACGGUCCUCCAGUUCCCACAGCUCCACCGCCGGCUGCUCCUACAGCUGCUCCCACCGUUCCAACCACGGGCUCUCCCACGGACUUUCCCACGGGCUUCUUCCAGGGGCUUCCCCCACGUGCGCUUUUCUCGGGCGUCUGCGUAUCGGACGGGGCGCGCGUCCCGCAGAGCACACUGGGAGCGGUAGUUCUGCGCGACAUUCCAUCGCGCAAGCGCUCUCUGCCGAGCCACCCUGCUCUUUGUCCUUCGCUGCCCGGAGGCGUGCUCGCAGGUCGCUGUCUCCUUGGGGCCUCGGUGGCCGGCGCUGGGCUGCGUAUUUCUGCCUCUGGUUGGGCGGCGCGACGAUGUUGGGGGAUCCGGGUGACGAGCCGGCUGAGGGGAGAAUUCGAAGAAGCCUGGAACUGUAGGAUGAAAAUGCAAGUUGCCCCUCCCUUUCAAAGAUGCACGUGAGAGCUGCUAUCACAGGGAGCAAUGUAGUGCUCGCAGGAAACUGCCACGGUGAUAAAAUGAAGCCAAUGAAGUUAAAAUGAGCCACAUUCUGCAGUGAGGGGCUUUAGACUUCUUUUGCUGAGGGGGUAAGUGAGAACAGACUAUCAGAGAGUUAGUUCAGGGAUAACUCCUCCCUCAAGGUCCAACAUUGUAAAUAUUUGUUUCACUUAGUAAAGGCAGGUCUAGAGUCUACAGAGUAACAAAUGUCAGAUCCCUCUCCCCCCAGUACUGGGGGGAUUGAACCCAGAUCCUCAAGUGUUGAAUCUUUUUAUUUGUUAUUUUGAGACAGCAUAUUGCUGAGUUGUCCAGGCUGCCUCAACUUGUGAUCCUCUUGCUUCAGCCUCCUGAGUAGCUGGGAUUACAGGGGUGUGUGACCACACCUAGUUUUAGAAAUAUUUUAAAACUACCCAGAUUGCUUAUCACAUCCCUUUCACCUGAAAUUCUCAAUCUUUGAUAUUCUCUGCAUGAAAUCUAAC
rnacentral:lncRNA from 1 species